UACGGAGGGUGCGAUCGUUAUUCGGAAUUACUGGGCGUAAAGCGCGUGUAGGCGGUUUUGCAAGUCUGAUGUGAAAGCCCCGGGCUUAACCUGGGAAGUGCAUUGGAAACUGCAGGACUUGAGUACCGGAGAGGAAGGGGGAAUUCCCGGUGUAGAGGUGAAAUUCGUAGAGAUCGGGAGGAAUUCCAGUGGCGUAGGCGCCCUUCUGGACGGUUACUGACGCUGAGACGCGAAAGCGUCGGGAGCAAACAGG
rnacentral:rRNA from 1 species